UACAGAGGUCUCAAGCGUUGUUCGGAUUCAUUGGGCGUAAAGGGUGUGUAGGUGGCGCCGUAAGUCGGGUGUGAAAUUUCGGAGCUUAACUCCGAAACUGCAUUCGAUACUGCGGUGCUUGAGGACUGGAGAGGAGACUGGAAUUCAUGGUGUAGCAGUGAAAUGCGUAGAGAUCAUGAGGAGGACCAGUGGCGAAGGCGGGUCUCUGGACAGUUCCUGACACUGAGACACGAAAGCCAGGGGAGCAAACGGG
rnacentral:rRNA from 1 species